GAUGAACGCUGGCGGCGUGCCUAAUACAUGCAAGUCGAGCGAACAGACGAGGAGCUUGCUCCUUUGACGUUAGCGGCGGACGGGCGAGUAACACGUGGGUAACCUACCUAUAAGACUGGGAUAACUUCGGGAAACCGGAGCUAAUACCGGAUAAUAUUUCGAACCGCAUGGUUCGAUAGUGAAAGAUGGCUUUGCUAUCACUUAUAGAUGGACCUGCGCCGUAUUAGCUAGUUGGUAAGGUAACGGCUUACCAAGGCAACGAUACGUAGCCGACCUGAGAGGGUGAUCGGCCACACUGGAACUGAGACACGCUACAGACUCCUACGGGAGGCAGCAGUAGGGAAUCUUCCGCAAUGGGCGAAAGCCUGACGGAGCAACGCCGCGUGAGUGAGGAAGAUCUUCGGGUCGUAAAACUCGGUUAUUGGGUAAUAACAAACGUGUAAGUAACUGUGCACGUCUUGAAGGUACCUAAUCAGAAAGGCACGGCUAACUACGUG
rnacentral:rRNA from 1 species